rnacentral:rRNA from 1 species
GACGAACGCUGGCGGCGUGCCUAAUACAUGCAAGUAGAACGCUGAAGAGAGGAGCUUGCUCUUCUUGGAUGAGUUGCGAACGGGUGAGUAACGCGUAGGUAACCUGCCUGGUAGCGGGGGAUAACUAUUGGAAACGAUAGCUAAUACCGCAUAAAAUGGAUUAUCGCAUGAUAAUCGAUUGAAAGGUGCAAACGCAUCACUACCAGAUGGACCUGCGUUGUAUUAGCUAGUUGGUGGGGUAACGGCUCACCAAGGCGACGAUACAUAGCCGACCUGAGAGGGUGAUCGGCCACACUGGGACUGAGACACGGCCCAGACUCCUACGGGAGGCAGCAGUAGGGAAUCUUCGGCAAUGGACGGAAGUCUGACCGAGCAACGCCGCGUGAGUGAAGAAGGUUUUCGGAUCGUAAAGCUCUGUUGUAAGAGAAGAACGAGUGUGAGAGUGGAAAGUUCACACUGUGACGUAUCUACCAGAAAGGAC